AGACAGACAGAAGAGUCAAAAUCUGUAACUUAAGAUAAAUGAGCGAAAAUAAAGUUGUAUUUUCAAUUUUCGUUUUGUAUUUUCAAUUAACUUUGCAUUCUUGCAACUGGCAACCAUUUUGAAACUUCAGAAAAAUAAAAGG
rnacentral:ribozyme from 18 species